GACGAACGCUGGCGGCGUGCUUAACACAUGCAAGUCGAACGGAAAGGCCCUGCUUGCAGGGUACUCGAGUGGGGAACGGGUGGGUAACACGUGGGUGAUCUGCCCUGCACUUCGGGAUAAGCCUGGGAAACUGGGUCUAAUACCGGAUAGGAGCCACUUUGAGUGAGAGGGUUGGAAAGUUUUUGCGGUGUAGGAUGAGCUGGCGGCCGAUCAGCUUGUUGGUGGGGUAAGGGGCUACCAAGGCGGCGACGGGGAGCAGGCCCGGGCGGGUGGACGGUCACAUUGGGACCGAGAUACGGCCCAGACUCCUACUGGAGGCUGCUGUGGGGAAUCUUGCACAAUGGGCGCGCGCCUGAUGCAGCGGCGCCGCGUGGGUGAUGAUGGCCUUUGGGUUGUAUACGCCUUUCGCUAGGGACGAUGCUUUUUGUGACGGUACCUUUAUAAGAAGCACCGGCCAACUACCUG
rnacentral:rRNA from 1 species